rnacentral:misc_RNA from 1 species
UCAUAACCUAGAUAGCAAAGACACCCGCUUGUAGUUACGUUUUUUAACGAGACGACAAGAGAUAGAGUGGAAAGCUGGAAUUAAC